rnacentral:rRNA from 1 species
UACGUAGGGGGCUAGCGUUGUCCGGAACCAUUGGGCGUAAAGAGCGUGUGGGCGGCCCGGUAAGUCCGCUGUGAAAGUCGGGGGCUCAACCCUCGAAUGCCGGUGGAUACUGUCGGGCUAGAGUGCGGAAGAGGCGAGUGGAAUUCCUGGUGUAGCGGUGAAAUGCGCAGAUAUCAGGAGGAACACCUAUUGCGAAGGCAGCUCGCUGGGACGUAACUGACGCUGAGACGCGAAAGCGUGGGGAGCAAACAGG